rnacentral:sRNA from 1 species
AUCACCUCUUUAGCUGUUCAUCAUUGGUAAUAUUUUCAGCAACAGGUUCAUAUACACCAGUGUCGAUGUUCAUUUGCAUGACUCUGUUUGUCAGCAUCUUCUCUCCAAUCUUUUGA